AAACCAAUUUAGGAACUUGGGUUAAUACAAUAUGCUAGUAUAUAAAAUUUGAAGAGAAAGAAACAAUUUUCCACCAGAAUGCCUAGGUUAUAUCUAAAAAUUUUCUCUAAUAUUCUACUUGUUUAAGGAUCAAAAUCUUACCUGAAUCGCAGCAGAACCAGGGAUCAAAUCCUAAAUUAUCUGAUAUAAACCUUCGCAGAGGUCUGGAUAUGCAGACCCUCUACUUCGCAUGCACGUC
rnacentral:lncRNA from 1 species